GAUGAACGCUAGCGGGAGGCUUAACACAUGCAAGUCGAGGGGCAGCAUAGGGUAGCAAUACUCUGAUGGCGACCGGCAAAACGGGUGAGUAACGCGUAUGCAACCUACCCUGUACAGGGGGAUAACCCGGAGAAAUUCGGACUAAUAUCCCGUAAAUAAUAUCCGGAGGCAUCUUUGGAUAUUUAAAGUUCCGACGGUACGGGAUGGGCAUGCGUAACAUUAACUGGUUGGUAAGGUAACGGCUUACCAAGGCUAUGAUGUUUAGGGGUCCUGAGAGGGUGGUCCCCCACACUGGUACUGAGACACGGACCAGACUCCUACGGGAGGCAGCAGUGAGGAAUAUUGGUCAAUGGGCGCAGGCCUGAACCAGCCAUCCCGCGUGCAGGAAGACGGCCCUAUGGGUUGUAAACUGCUUUUCCAGGGAGAGAAACUUACGCACGUGUUGCGUGACUGACGGUACCCUGGGAAUAAGCAUCGGCUAACUCCGUG
rnacentral:rRNA from 1 species